UACAACUUUAUAUAAAAGAAAAGAACGGUUGCAUUCAAAAUAUGUUACACCUACGUAGUUCGUUGUACAUAUCUAGGUGCUGAGUAUCGAGAUCAAGCCAAAAAACAUUAUAUUCGUGUACCCAAAAUAUGUGUUGAAGCCUCCAAAACUAACCACAAUAUACCUAUAUCACUAUUAUCUAUUCUCUUUCAUAAAUAUGACUAGCAAUCCAUCUUUACAAUGAGAUAGUAAAAAACGGUGAGGAGAAAGUGAUAUUUGAGUGCAGUUCAUUUGUGAUAUUACACGACAGUAGGUUCAAAGAAAUCCAAUGCCCCGACUACAUGCCUUCGUAUUUUGUCUGUUGAUGUCCCUUGGACACAUGUAUUGUCGACCUGUCAUAUGCUUUCAGUACUUUUACAUAAUCUUAAAAAAGUACAACUAAACUAUCCAAAUUUACCAAAAUCUCUCAAAAUAAAUAUUUAUCUCGGCUCCAUCCAAUAUAUAGCUACCAAUAUACUUAUCCCAGGGUAUUGAGAGUAAAAAAUCUUUUCUAUGAUAUCUCGAAUGCACACCACCUAGUUUCAUCUUUUUUUAUAUAUUCUGAGUGUAUCUAGAUUUUAUGAAUAUUUUUAUUGUUCUUUAUCUUGAUUACUUAACACCUAUAAUCUUAUUUUAUUUUGUUUUGGAUCUCAGUAUUGAGACAUGAUACAUUAUGUAAAAUGAUAAAGGUUCUACACAUUAUAUAUUUUAAUAAAUAAAAUAAUUAAAUAAUUUCAAUAAAAAUUCAAAGACAAAAAAUCAUUUUAAAAUUUUAAAAUUUUAUAAAAAUGGUUACAAAUGUCAAACUAAAAUGUAAUAGUCCCAAUUAAAUUGACAUCCCAUUAAUUAUGAAAAUGUUGUUUAGCAAUAGUUGGCCUCAUUAGAUAAUUUGAAGGUACAUGAAUUUAAUUUUAACUAUUGCAUUUUAGUUUGACAUUUUAAGUAUUUUUAUAAAUUUUAGAAAAUUUUAAAAAAUAUUUUCUAAUUUUAAAAAGAUAGUUAUAAAAAGAGUGAAUAUCCAACUCGGCCCCUUACGAGGUCCUUGACAAAAAAAAUACCCAACUCGGUCCUUGAUCUUUUUUUUUUUGGGGACUGAUUAGCCUUUGUGCAAAAUAAAACAACAUUGAUUUUUUUUGGCACAGGGGCUAAUCAGUCCCAUAAAAAUAAAGUUUAGGCACCGAGUUGGGUAUUUUUUUUUUUUUUUGUCAAAGAUCUCGUUGUCUUUCGAGAUAUAAUUGUCAGGAACCGUUUAAGAUUUUUUCUCUUAUAAAAAAUAUAAUUNNNNNNNNNNNNNNNNNNNNNNNNNCUCCUUUUAUUUGUGCCCUUUUUUUUUAGUGCAAUUUGUUUUAAUUGUUAUAAUUAUUUUUAGGGUAAAGCACAUAAACAAAUAGAAUGGCAUUUAAUAUUACAUGAAUAUCCUUAAAAAAAACACCUUACAUGCAUGUCCGAAUUGAAUGGUGGCUCUAUGUAAAUCAAAGCUACUAAGCUUGAUUCAUUAUACUCCACACAUAAAUCGAAUGGAGCAUAUUUGAUAUAACUUAAAAUAUAGUAAUAAAAUAGGAUCGAUUUACAUGCACUGAUAGUUGAAGGAAUGAGAUUUGAUUUACAAGAGAAUGACAUUUAGGAGACAUUGAAACCAGCUGUUUCAAUCUACUACACAAUAUCAAAAGCAAGUAAAUCGAGUCUAGUAGAGUCGAUUUACUACCCAUGAUGAGCCACACAAAUCGAAUUACUAAUUAGGGUACGAGUAUAAGAUAUAUAAAUUUGAGCAAAAUAUUGAAUCUUCAUUAAAGUGGCAUUCAUAAUGGCGAGUGAGGAGAGUUUUUUAGUUUCUGUGCACUACAGAGGUAUGAUUAAGAAAAAAUAUGAGAAAGAAUAAAAUUUACUGAUAAGAAUCCGUUGAGUGUCUUUAUCAAACCUUAGCUUCUACAAGUUUUGUUGAGUUUCAAAAUACUAUAAUCCGACAACUAGGAAUGCAUGGCAUGAAAUAGGUGGAGAAGUUAUUUUAUAGAAUUUCAAUUUCUGUUGUACAAGAUGGUGUGAAGUACAACUCCUUUGUAAUAGAGAGUGACAAAGAUUUGCAAGUUUUGUUUCACUGUUGUCGUCAUUUUCUUGAGGUGAGGACUCAUGAACAAUUGGCCAAGUUUGGAGAUGUAGUCUGUAGUUUAGGAAGAUUGAAUUGAAAUCUUCAAUCUGUAGCAAUGCUAGGAGCCUUUAGUUCAAUGCCUAUUGGUAGAUCUUCAUCUGUGCCUAUCAUUACACCGGAAGCAGUUUUAGUGGCAUUGAUGAAUCCAUAUUUCAUGGUAUUUAUUUGCUCUAUUUGGGUGGACUUCAUCAACUUUUCCUACACUUAUCCAUUGAAAUAGCAUAGUUUCAUGAUUUCUUCCUAAAUUGUGCUUGAAAGUGAAAACAUGCUUUUUAGGCCUUGUAAUUGCUAAAUUUUAUCCACUUUAAUUUCAUAUGAUGCCUUGAUAUGUUUGUUGAGUGAUUUCAGGUUUCCAAGGCAAGUAUGGGUUGAAGAAGUGACAAAAAGAGCAUGCAAAAGGGAAGAAACCAGGAAGAAAUGGAGUUUGGAAGAUUCAGCACGCGUGCGUACGCACAACAAGGAUUUGCGAGCGACGCGUACGCGUGGAUGGAUUUUUGCGCAAACGGCGCGUACACGUGACCUGAAUUACGUCAGCUCAUUAAUUGCAAAUCGCUGGGGGCGAAUUCUGGGCCUCCAAAAUCCAGUCCAACUCAUUUCUGGAGCUAUUUCAACCCCAAUUCAAGUGGAAACAAAGGGGGGGGUGUAACAACCCAAUUUCCGACAUGUCCGGAUCACUGCCAGUCGUCGGGUGUUACUUCCCGGUAGCCCUAUAAAACUCUAAACUCGAUAAUAUUUACUACAUAUGAGCCUUUCGUACUAACGGGAUCGCGUAUGUUAACUUAUUUCUAUCAUAUAGUUGUUUUAACAAACCUAUUAAUAAAACCAUGAACAUCUUCAGAGAUAUACAAUAUAAAAAUAAAUACCAGACUAACAGCAAAAUUAAAUUUAGCAAUAAGAUCAUAGAAAAGCAUUCAUACAUAUAUACGUCUUAAGUUAGUUCAUACAAACUUGACACGCUUAGAUAUAUAUAUAUAUAUAUAUAUAUAUAUAUAUAUAUCAAGUCCUAUCCCUCAAAAAUGCUACAGAAGUGAGGGAAAGCAAAGUCUAAGGAAUGAAUACCAUCUAUAGUACAUUCUUUCCACCGUCGAGGCACAAGUUUGCAACCAUCAGCACAAGACUAGUUUCGAGCAUCUCCUGCAGAGUCCGACAACACGUGCUCCUCUGGUACCUCUCUGAAUAUAACUCCUGUGACGGCGAUCAAGUCUGGAUCUUCCAUCUGUGGGGGAAGGAAAAAGGAAGGGGUGAGAACCUAUAUGGUUCCCAGUAAGGUGACAUCGUUAAAGCGCAUCUCUCUCGUGAAACCUAGAGUUUUGGCUCUAUCGUAAUAACUCACUUACUAAGUCUCUCGGCUACUCCCGUAUCGUGGGUUCUGACAUAACUCUUUCUUGGCAUCUUUCUUUGGGAUGAAUGCCGUUCUCACGCUAUUCUCUAUGAUUAUUAUUCCUAACUCUAUUACCUUAUUCUAAGCUUUGAGAAAGUUACGUCAUAAUCUUAAUAUAUAGACAAGAAUCAGAAAACAGAGAAUUAACAAGAAGCAGAUGGCACAUCGCAGAAGGAAUGAACAGUAAACAAUCACAGUCCAAUGUGCAAACAAUUUAUGAUGCAUGCCUGUUCCUAGUGCAGGCCAUGAGCUCAUGCGUCGGUUGUCUACCCGCAACCCGACGUUACUCGGGGUGAACCCCGAAUAUGGUUCCUUUACUGUGUCAAUUAGACACCUUGGCAUCACGGUUACCCGUGUCAGUUAGGCCUCAUCAUAAUAUUUUAAUGUGUAUCACAGUAACGAACAGUGCUAUCAGUUAGGCGAACAUUUUCGCAUUAGCAAUCUCAGGCUAUCAGUUAGGCGGACACUUUCGCAUUAGCAAUUUGGCACAAAGGCCCAUUCAACAUACAAAUAUGCUAUCAGUUAGGCAGACAUUCCCGCAUUAGCAACCUUGGGCUAUCAGUCAGGCGGGCACUUCUGCAUUAGUAGUUUGGCACAAAGGCCCAGUCAAACAAAUAACAUUCAACUAUCCUUUUUAUUCAUUGUUUCCUAUUUCCUGUCUUUUCAUCAUGCCUCCACAUCACCUUAUAAAUAUACAUACCUCCGCAUCACCACAUAACUAAGCAUACCUCCACAUCACCAUAUUACUAAGCAUACCUCUGCAUCACCCUUUUAACUUUAACGUUUCUAGGGGUAACUUGCAUUCACAGCAAGCAGCAGCGUUUUUAUAAAAUCCAUAAUAAUUUCAAUUCUAAUCCGUUGCUUCUAAAUUUUGGGUAGAUUACACUCAACUUUCCUAAGUUUCAGAACAAACAAGUUUUAAGUUCAUAUCACUUCAUUUGAUUAAUUAAUUCUCAAUUGGAAGUAAUGCCCUGUUUUCAUAAAUCAGUUUAGAAUUUCCAGCAAGCAACCCAGCUUCCAAGUGACUUAAUUAAGUCUACAAAAUAGAUAUGAACAUGAAAUUUGUACUCAAUUAAAGUGAAGAUGCAGAUCUUCAAAACCCCUUUGGUAGAAACUUAAAAUGUUACGUAAAACAAAAGUUCCAGUGGUUUGAGUUCGAUGUUGCAGAACCAGAAAACCAAAAAAAUUCUGCAGCAGCUAUUGUUUUCAAAAAUUCAUAUCUUUUGAACCACUUGGCCAAAUCCCUUGAAAUUUUUAUGGCACAUUCAAGACACACCUAAGUUUUACAAAAAAAAUAAUUUUAUCCAAAAAGGUGGUCCAGACUAUUACCAGAAUUUAUUUUAAGUCACUGCCAAAUAUGCAGAAAUUCUGCAUCAAGUAAUUCCAACAACCUCACAUACCAAAUCUUAUAUUUAAGCCUAAAACUCUCCUAAAACCAUAAUUCCAACUUUCUUGUGACUAACCAAAGUUGCUAGAGUGAUUAGCGCAGUCCCAAAAACCCAGAGUCAAUAUUUUCCAAGUUUUCAAGUGCUUAUACACAAGUGAACAUUCAUUUUUCUGCAUCAUGUUAAAAACAGAAUUUCCACAUGUACUUUCUAUCAUUCAUUCACAUAAUAAAUCAUCAUUCAUCAUCAUCCAACUGGGUUAGUUAUAACAGAACCCAUCUCAAGCACAACAACUUUACAGUAAGGAACAAUGCUAUCAAUUAGGCGAACAUUUCCGCAUUAGCAAUCUCAGGCUAUCAGUUAGGCGGACACUUUCGCAUUAGCAAUUUGGCACAAAGGCCCAUUCAACAUACAAAUAUGCUAUCAGUUAGGCAGACAUUCCCGCAUUAGCAACCUUGGGCUAUCAGUCAAGCGGGUACUUCUGCAUUAGUAGUUUGGCACAAAGGCCCAGUCAAACAAAUAACAUUCAACUAUCCUUUUCAUUCAUUGUUUCCUAUUUCCUGUCUUUUCAUCAUGCCUCCACAUCACCUUAUAAAUAUACAUACCUCCGCAUCACCACAUAACUAAGCAUACCUCCACAUCACCAUAUUACUAAGCAUACCUCUGCAUCACCCUUUUAACUUUAACGUUUCUAGGGGUAACUUGCAUUCUUAUUCACUUCUUAGCUUGUUUAGCCUAAUACCCUUUUGGCGACCGGUUUUCUAUCUAACGAUUAAUAUCACAAACGGACUCGGACUCGCACAAAUUUUAUGUCCACAUGUUCGUAUUAAACUCGAGUUUCUAAAGGUCUAGAAAUCAUAUUUUUCUGGGCAGUCUAUCUCCAACUAUUGAGGAAAAACGAAGACUGUUAUUCUAGGUUUGUAGGAACAGCACCUUGCUGUCUUGUUAUGUGGUUUUUAUGUUGUGAAAGCCUACGCACGGACUAUCUCUCUUAUCAAAGUAACUCUAGAGAUCCUAACCUUUACUUUGAAUUAUAUUUUACUACAUUUGGACCAGAAUUGAAUUUUAUAUAAGGUUUUAAAAUUCUGCUACUGCACAUGUAAAGAUUCAGAAAAAUAGCAAGCAGCAGCGUUUUCAUAAAAUCCAUAAUAAUUUCAAUUAUAAUCCGUUACUUCUAAAUUUUGGGUAGAUUACACUCAAAUUUCCUAAGUUUUAGAACAAACAAGUUUUAAGUUCAUAUCACUUCAUUUGAUUAAUUAAUUCUCAAUUGGAAGUAAUGCCCUGUUUUCAUAAAUCAGUUUAGAAUUUCCAGCAAGCAACCCAGCUUCCAAGUGACUUAAUUAAGUCUACAAAAUAGAUAUGAAAUAUGAAAUUUGUACUCAAUUAAAGUGAAGAUACAGAUCUUCAAAACCCCUUUGGUAGAAACUUAAAAUGUUACGUAAAACAAAAGUUCCAGUGGUUUGAGUUCGAUGUUGCAGAACCAGAAAACCAAAAAAAUUCUGCAGCAGCUAUUGUUUUCAAAAAUUCAUAUCUUUUGAACCACUUGGCCAAAUCCCUUGAAAUUUUUAUGGCACAUUCAAGACACACCUAAGUUUUACAAAAAAAUAAUUUUAUCCAAAAAGGUGGUCCGGACUAUUACCAGAAUUUAUUUUAAGUCACUGCCAAAUAUGCAGAAAUUCUGCAUCAAGUAAUUCCAACAACCUCACAUACCAAAUCUUAUAUUUAAGCCUAAAACUCUCCUAAAACCAUAAUUCCAACUUUCUUGUGACUAACCAAAGUUGCUAGAGUGAUUAGCGCAGUCCCAAAAACCCAGAGUCAAUAUUUUCCAAGUUUUCAAGUGCUUAUACACAAGUGAACAUUCAUUUUUCUGCAUCAUGUUAAAAACAGAAUUUCCACAUGUACUUUCUAUCAUUCAUUCACAUAAUAAAUCAUCAUUCAUCAUCAUCCAACUGGGUUAGUUAUAACAGAACCCAUCUCAAGCACAACAACUUAUACUACCAACUAAUUCAAUCAUAAAACAUGGCCUUUAGCCUUCAAGUAAAUUCUGCACAUAACAACUUAAAACCCCAAAUAACAUUAUCAAGCCUACAAUUCACCAACAGCACCAUCAAUCAGUCACAAAACUUCUGCAUUAGUAGUUUGGCACAAAGGCCCAGUCAAACAAAUAACAUUCAACUAUCCUUUUUAUUCAUUGUUUCCUAUUUCCUGUCUUUUCAUCAUGCCUCCACAUCACCUUAUAAAUAUACAUACCUCCGCAUCACCACAUAACUAAGCAUACCUCCACAUCACCAUAUUACUAAGCAUACCUCUGCAUCACCCUUUUAACUUUAACGUUUCUAGGGGUAACUUGCAUUCUUAUUCACUUCUUAGCUUGUUUAGCCUAAUACCCUUUUGGCGACCGGUUUUCUAUCUAACGAUUAAUAUCACAAACGGACUCGGACUCGCACAAAUUUUAUGUCCACAUGUUCGUAUUAAACUCGAGUUUCUAAAGGUCUAGAAAUCAUAUUUUUCUGGGCAGUCUAUCUCCAGCUAUUGAGGAAAAACCGAGACUGUUAUUCUAGGUUUGUAGGAACAGCACCUUGCUGUCUUGUUAUGUGGUUUUUAUGUUGUGAAAGCCUACGUACGGACUAUCUCUCUUAUCAAAGUAACUCUAGAGAUCCUAACCUUUACUUUGAAUUAUAUUUUACUACAUUUGGACCAGAAUUGAAUUUUAUAUAAGGUUUUAAAAUUCUGCUACUGCACUUGUAAAGAUUCAGAAAACAGCAAGCAGCAGCGUUUUUAUAAAAUCCAUAACAAUUUCAAUUCUAAUCCGUUGCUUCUAAAUUUUGGGUAUAUUACACUCAACUUUCCUAAGUUUCAGAACAAACAAGUUUUAAGUUCAUAUCACUUCAUUUGAUUAAUUAAUUCUCAAUUGGAAGUAAUGCCCUGUUUUCAUAAAUCAGUUUAGAAUUUCCAGCAAGCAACCCAGCUUCCAAGUGACUUAAUUAAGUCUACAAAAUAGAUAUGAACAUGAAAUUUAUACUCAAUUAAAGUGAAGAUGCAGAUCUUCAAAACCCCUUUGGUAGAAACUUAAAAUGUUACGUAAAACAAAAGUUCCAGUAGUUUGAGUUCGAUGUUGCAGAACCAGAAAACCAGAAAAAUUCUGCAGAAGCUACUGUUUUCAAAAAUUCAUAUCUUUUGAACCACUUGGCCAAAUCCCUUGAAAUUUUUAUGGCACAUUCAAGACACACCUAAGUUUUACAGAAAAAUAAUUUUAUCCAAAAAGGUGGUCCAGACUAUUACCAGAAUUUAUUUUAAGUCACUGCCAAAUAUGCAGAAAUUCUGCAUCAAGUAAUUUCAACAAUCUCACAUACCAAAUCUUAUAUUUAAACCUAAAACUCCCCUAAAACCAUAAUUCCAACUUUCUUGUGACUAACCAAAGUUGCUAGAGUGAUUAGUGCAGUCCCAAACAUCCAGAGUCAAUAUUUUCCAAGUUUUCAAGUGCUUAUACACAAGUGAACAUUCAUUUUUCUGCAUCAUGUUAAAAACAGAAUUUCCACAUGUACUUUCUAUCAUUCAUUCACAUAAUAAAUCAUCAUUCAUCAUCAUCCAACUGGGUUAGUUAUAACAGAACCCAUCUCAAGCACAACAACUUAUACUACCAACUAAUUCAAUCAUAAAACAUGGCCUUUAGCCUUCAAGUAAAUUCUGCACAUAACAACUUAAAACCCCAAAUAACAUUAUCAAGCCUACAAUUCACCAACAGCACCAUCAAUCAGUCACAAACAUAUCCUUCUAAACACUCAAACCCUUACCUCUUUUGAAGUUCAAAAUUCUGUUUGUGCUUCUUCCUUGAAUUAAAAAUCCUAGCCACACAAAAUUGAAGUUUCGGUCACUCCUCCCUUCUCCCUCAACUCCGUUUCAUUCUUUUCUUUCUUCUAUUUGUGUGUGUCUGUGAUGACCCAGAUGAAGCAAGCACUCAUAUAAGUAGAAGAAAAAGUGGAGGAACUUGUCCUGUCUCUCCUUCUUUCCGUCUUGGUUCUGCUCUCUCUCUCCCUCUCUUUGCUGCCUUCUGUUUCUUGCGUUGAAAAAGGGAGACCCAGUAGAAGCGGUGGGCGUAUAAAUAGGAGAAAAAGAAGUGGAGUGAGGUGGUGAAGAGAGUUUCGUGGUUCUUCCUCCAGAGAACACCUAACCAAAGCCCAUUAUCAUAUGAGGAAACCAAGAGGUGUAACCUUGGUUGGGGGAAGGCUUCUCUCUGUUUCGGUCAUCACAUGAAGAAUGAAGAAGAUUAGGGCUUUAAUCAUGGUUAGAUUUCUGAUGAUGCAUAUGCUUAUGGUCUGGUUGAACUGGAAAAAAAAAUGGUUUAAUGUGUGUUGGUUCAUACUUCACAAAUCUUAAUGAUAUAUCUAUACUGUUCUUUUCACUUAUCAAGUCUAAAUCCACCUUAUUAUUUUAUGGUGAGGUGAUUCUCGGAUAUUUAUCGAAUUUCUCAUCACAGAAUUUCUGAGAUUAACUCUGUAGAAAAUCGGGGUGUUAUAGGGGGAAUUAGGUUUAGUUUUUGUUAUGUUUUCUCUUAGUUUCUAGAGAGAGAAGCUCCUCCCUCUCUCUAGAAUUAGAAAUUUUAGCUUAGUUUCCUUUUAAUUUCAG
rnacentral:lncRNA from 1 species